AGAUUUCUGAGAUGUACGUCAUAUUUCUAAUGUGUUGACCUUACAUAUUUUUAUUGAUUUAGGGAUCCUUUAGAUACAUGUGAUAACAAGCCCUUUCACUUGGUAGUUAAAUAACAUUUACUUUGGAGCCCACCUGUUUUUAAGCAGGUUCAAGACAAAGAAAUAUAUCAAACGGCAUCACCGGAUGUCUU
rnacentral:other from 4 species